rnacentral:rRNA from 1 species
CUUGCUAUGGUAUAACUUAGUGGCAGACGGGUGAGUAAUGUAUAGGAAUCUACCUAGUAGUACGGAAUAAUUGUUGGAAACGGCAACUAAUACCGUAUACGCCCUACGGGGGAAAAAUUUAUUGCUAUUAGAUGAGCCUAUAUUAGAUUAGCUAGUUGGUGGAGUAAUAGCCUACCAAGGCAAUGAUCUAUAGCUGAUCUGAGAGGAUGAUCAGCCACACUGGAACUGAGAUACGGUCCAGACUCCUACGGGAGGCAGCAGUGGGGAAUAUUGGACAAUGGGCGAAAGCCUGAUCCAGCCAUGCCGCAUGAGUGAAGAAGGCCUUUGGGUUGUAAAGCUCUUUUAGUGAGGAAGAUAAUGACGGUACUCACAGAAGAAGUCCUGGCUAACUCCGUGCCAGCAGCCGCGGUAAUACGGAGAGGGCUAGCGUUAUUCGGAAUUAUUGGGCGUAAAGGGUGCGUAGGCGGAUUAGUAAGUUAAAAGUGAAAUCCCAAGGCUCAACCUUGGAAUUGCUUUUAAAACUGCUAAUCUAGAGAUUGAAAGAGGAUAGAGGAAUUCCUAGUGUAGAGGUGAAAUUCGUAAAUAUUAGGAGGAACACCAGUGGCGAAGGCGUCUAUCUGGUUCAAAUCUGACGCUGAGGCGCGAAGGCGUGGGGAGCAAACAGGAUUAGAUACCCUGGUAGUCCACGCUGUAAACGAUGAAUGUUAAAUAUGGGAAGUUUUACUUUCUGUAUUACAGCUAACGCGUUAAACAUUCCGCCUGGGGACUACGGUCGCAAGAUUAAAACUCAAAGGAAUUGACGGGG